rnacentral:rRNA from 1 species
CAAUAGCGUAUAUUAAAGUUGUUGCGGUUAAAAAGCUCGUAGUUGGAUUUCUGUUGAGAGCAGCCGGUCUGCACUUGGUGCAUGUAUCUGGUUUGAUCUCGGCAUCCUCUCAAAAUACGUUUCUGCGCUUGAUUGCGUGGAGCGGAGUUUGGGACUUUUACUUUGAGGAAAUUAGAGUGUUCACGGCAGGCAAUCGCCUUGAAUAUAUUAGCAUGGAAUAAUAAUAUAGGAUCUUGGUUCUAUUUUGUUGGUUUCUAGAGCUAAGAUAAUGAUUAAUAGGGACAAUUGGGGGCAUUCGUAUUAACGCGUCAGAGGUGGAAUUCUUGGAUUUGUUAAAGACGGACUACUGCGAAAGCAUUUGCCAAGGAUGUUUUCAUUGA